GUAGGGAAUAUUGCGCAAUGGGGGAAACCCUGACGCAGCGACGCCGCGUGAGUGAUGAAGGCCUUCGGGUCGUAAAGCUCUGUUGCAGGGGAAUAAAAAAAUGAAGGUACCCUGUGAGGAAGGAUCGGCUAACUUCGUGCCAGCAGCCGCGGUAAGACGAGGGAUCCUAGCGUUGCUCGGAAUCAUUGGGCGUAAAGAGGGCGUAGGUGGCUUGGUAAGUCAGGUGUGAAAGACCAGGGCUCAACCCUGGAAGUGCAUUUGAUACUGCUGAACUUGAGUGUCGGAGAGGUUACCGGAAUACCUGGUGUAGUGGUGAAAUACGUAGAUAUCAGGUGGAACACCGGAGGCGAAGGCGGGUAACUGGACGAACACUGACACUGAGGCCCGAAAGCGUGGGGAUCAAACAGGAUUAGAAACCCCGGUAGUCC
rnacentral:rRNA from 1 species